AGUGAACGCUGGCGGUAUGCCUAACACAUGCAAGUCGAACGGCAGCACAGUAAGAGGUUGCUAUUACUGGUGGCGGGUGGCGGACGGGUGAGGAAUACAUCGGGAUGUACUGGUUAGUGGGGCGUAACGUAUGGUAACUUACGCUAAUACCGCAGGCGACAUACGGGUGAAAGCAGAGGAUCUUUGGACCUUGCGCGAUUGAAUCAGCCGAUGUCGGAUUAGCUAGUUGGCGGGGUAAAGGCCCACCAAGGCGACGAUCCGUAGCUGGUCUGAGAGGAUGAUCAGCCACACUGGAACUGAGACACGGUCCAGACCCCUACGGGAGGCAGCAGUGGGGAAUAUUGGACAAUGGGCGCAAGCCUGAUCCAGCCAUACCGCGUGGGUGAAGAAGGCCUUCGGGUUGUAAAGCCCUUUUGUUGGGAAAGAAAAGCAGCAGGUUAAUACCCCGCUGUUCUGACGGUACCCAAAGAAUAAGCACCGGCUAACUUCGUG
rnacentral:rRNA from 1 species